rnacentral:tRNA from 1 species
GCCGGAGUGGCGGAAUUGGCAGACGCGACGGAUUCAAAAUCCGUUGCCCGCAAGGGCGUGUGGGUUCAAGUCCCACCUCCGGCA